rnacentral:rRNA from 1 species
UACGGAGGAUGCAAGCGUUAUCCGGAAUGAUUGGGCGUAAAGCGUCCGCAGGUGGCUGUGUAAGUCUGCUGUUAAAGAGUGAGGCUCAACCUCAUAAAAGCAGUGGAAACUACACAGCUAGAGUGCGUUCGGGGCAGAGGGAAUUCCUGGUGUAGCGGUGAAAUGCGUAGAGAUCAGGAAGAACACCGGUGGCGAAGGCGCUCUGCUAAGCCGCAACUGACACUGAGGGACGAAAGCUAGGGGAGCGAAUGGG